rnacentral:rRNA from 1 species
CCUACGUGAGGCAGCAGUGAGGAAUAUUGGUCAAUGGGCGCGAGCCUGAACCAGCCAAGUAGCGUGAAGGAUGACUGCCCUACGGGUUGUAAACUUCUUUUAUAAAGGAAUAAAGUGAGGCACGUGUGCCUUUUUGUAUGUACUUUAUGCAUAAGGAUCGGCUAACUCCGUGCCAGCGGCCGCGGUAAUACGGAGGAUCCGAGCGUUAUCCGGAUUUCUUGGGUUUAAAGGGAGCGUAGUGGGGGUGUUAAGGCAGUAGUGAAAGUUUGCGGCUCAACCGUAAAAUUGCAAUUGAUACUGGCAGCCUUGAGUACAGUUGAGGUAGGCGGAAUUCGUGGUGUAGCGGUGAAAUGCUUAGAUAUCACGAAGAACUCCGAUUGCGAAGGCAGCUUACUAAACUGCCACUGACAUUGAUGCUCGAAAGUGUGGGUAUCAAACAGGAUUAGAUACCCGGGUAGUC